rnacentral:rRNA from 1 species
UACGAAGGGGGCUAGCGUUGCUCGGAAUCACUGGGCGUAAAGGGCGCGUAGGCGGCCAUUCAAGUCGGAGGUGAAAGCCCAGGGCUCAACCCUGGAAUUGCCUUCGAUACUGUUUGGCUAGAGACCGGAAGAGGUAAGUGGAACUGCGAGUGUAGAGGUGAGAUUCGUAGAUAUUCGCAAGAACACCAGUGGCGAAGGCGGCUUACUGGUCCGGUUCUGACGCUGAGGCGCGAAAGCGUGGGGAGCAAACAGG